GAUGGACGCUAGCAGCAGGCUUAAUACAUGCAAGUCGAGGGACAGCACAGGUAGCAAUACUGGGUGGUAACCGGCAAACGGGUGCGGAGCACGUACACAACCUUCCUUUAAGUGGGGGAUAGCCCAGAGAAAUUUGGAUUAAUACCCCGUAAUAUAGUUGAAUGGCAUCAUUUGAUUAUUAUAGCUACGGCGCUUAAUGAUGGGUGUGCGGCUGAUUAGAGAGUUGGCGGGGUAACGGCCCACCAAGUCUACGAUAAGUAGCUGAUGUGAGAGAAUGAUCAGCCACACGGGCACUGAGACACGGGCCCGACUCCUACGGGAGGCAGCAGUAAGGAAUAUUGGUCAAUGGACGCAAGUCUGAACCAGCCAUGCCGCGUGAAGGAUUAAGGUCCUCUGGAUUGUAAACUUCUUUUAUUUGGGACGAAAAAGGGCCUUUCUAGGUCAACUGACGGUACCAGAUGAAUAAGCACCGGCUAACUCCGUGCCAGCCGCCGCCGUAAUAC
rnacentral:rRNA from 1 species